rnacentral:rRNA from 1 species
AGAUUGAACGCUGGCGGCAUGCCUUACACAUGCAAGUCGGACGGCAGCACGGGAGCAAUCCUGGUGGCGAGUGGCGAACGGGUGAGUAAUAUAUCGGAACGUGCCCAGUCGUGGGGGAUAACGUAGAGAAAUUUACGCUAAUACCGCAUACGAUCCAAGGAUGAAAGCGGGGGACCGUAAGGCCUCGCGCGACUGGAGCGGCUGAUAUCAGAUUAGCUUGUUGGUGAGGUAAAAGCUCACCAAGGCGACGAUCUGUAGCUGGUUUGAGAGAACGACCAGCCACACUGGGACUGAGACACGGCCCAGACUCCUACGGGAGGCAGCAGUAGGGAAUAUUGGACAAUGGGCGAAAGCCUGAUCCAGCAAUGCCGCGUGAGUGAUGAA